rnacentral:rRNA from 1 species
UACAGAGGUCUCAAGCGUUGUUCGGAUUCAUUGGGCGUAAAGGGUGCGUAGGCGGCGCCGUAAGUCAGGUGUGAAAUUUCGGAGCUUAACUCCGAAACUGCAUUUGAUACUGCGGUGCUUGAGGACUGGAGAGGAGACUGGAAUUUACGGUGUAGCAGUGAAAUGCGUAGAGACCGUAAGGAAGACCAGUGGCGAAGGCGGGUCUCUGGACAGUUCCUGACGCUGAGGCACGAAGGCCAGGGGAGCAAACGGG